AGACCGUGGUAUGGACAGCAUCUUAACAAGUCCGUGUACCUCUUCCAAGCAUCAUAUAUUCUCUCAUCGUCCAUCUGCACAAAAGAAGAAAUGUCAUUCCUCAAUUU
rnacentral:snoRNA from 1 species